GACGAACGCUGGCGGCAGGCCUAACACAUGCAAGUCGAGCGAGGUAGCAAUACCUAGCGGCGGACGGGUGAGUAACGCGUGGGAACGUGCCCCUUGGUACGGAAUAGCCCCGGGAAACUGGGAGUAAUACCGUAUGAGCUCUACGGAGGAAAGAUUUAUCGCCAAGGGAUCGGCCCGCGUUGGAUUAGGUGGUUGGUGGGGUAAUGGCCUAGCAAGCCGAAGAUCCAUAGCUGGUUUGAGAGGAUGAUCAGCCACACUGGGACUGAGACACAGCCCAGACUCCUACGGGAGGGAGCAGUGGAGAAUCUUAGACAAUGGGCUCAAUCCUGAGCUAGCCAUGCCGCGUGAGCGAUGAAGGCCUUAGGGUUAUAAAGCUCUUUCAGCUGGGAAGAUAAUGACUGUACCCCAAGAAGAAGCCCCGGCUAACUCCGAGCCAGCCGCCGCAGUAA
rnacentral:rRNA from 1 species